GGGGGCGAAACGGGCUCGACGGGGGUUGUGAAGCAUUGGCUGCGUACCGAGUUCGUCGCCGACUCGUAAAACAGGUGGCAAAUAAAACAAACGCAAAUAACGAAUUUGCACUGGCUGCUUAAUAACUAAGUAGCCCGCUGUUUUCUUCUGUUCCUGCCGGAAGAAAAACGGCGCCAUUUAGCAGGAUCGCAGUGAGGUGCCGUUCUCCACCUUACUGUUAAACUCAGAGAACUAGCUAGUUGGAAGGCCUGCCUAUUGGCUGAACAACGGCGAAAAAUAAUAAAUAGGCUAUGUGCGUAGAUGUCAAUGUGGAAAGCCUUCGGACGCGGGUUCGACUCCCGCCGCCUCCACCU
rnacentral:tmRNA from 1 species